rfam:Gossypium hirsutum cultivar TM-1 chromosome 20, whole genome shotgun sequence
GCCCCCAUCGUCUAGCGGUUUAGGACACCUCUCUUUCAAGGAGGCAGCGGGGAUUCGACUUCCCCUGGGGGUA